rnacentral:ncRNA from 1 species
AAAAACCUGCAAAAACAACUACUGAGCCCCGGUAGUUGUGCAGUGUUUCAAUGUAGCCUCUUCUCCAGAAGGGCCUACCAGGCUUCACCAACUAGUUUGGCCAAGCGUUCAUAGCGACGUCGCUUUUUAAUCCUUUGAUGUUGGCUUUUUCUAUAAUUGUGAAGCGGAAUUCAUCAAGCGUUGGAUUGUUCACCCACUAAUGGGGAAAGUGAGUUAAGUUUAGACCACCGUGAGACAGGUUAGUUUUACCAUACUAAUGAGUACAUUAGUAGAGUUCAAUCUGGCCGUUGCUAUGGUAAUCCAGUUUAGUACGAGAGGAACCGCAGGUUCAGAUAAUUAUUAUAUGUGCCUGGUCGAAAAACCAAUGGUGCGAAGUUACCAUCUGAUGUGUGAAUCCCAUCCAACUUUGCAACGGUACAUUUUGUAUCCGACACGAAGCUGAGCAAGCUUACGUAUUGACUUGGAAUCUGGACUGCACUAUGUUUUCGGCUAGACCAAUUAGGUCAGAUGUUAUGCGAGAGCGAUGACCACAAACCGUGCUCCGGAUAUUGGGACACGGAGGUCGACACGAUAUCUGAUUGUGGUAUGAGCGUGAGGAUAGUAAAUUGUUUGUAGAUGACUUAAUGUUAUGUCGUGAAGAUUUUAGUGCUCGAGUAGCUAUCACAAUGAGAGGCAUUGGAUCCUAUCAUUACUUGACGUAACGAUUU